UGGGGGAUAUUGCACAAUGGGCGAAAGCCUGAUGCAGCGACGCCGCGUGGGGGAUGAAGGCUUUCGGGUUGUAAACCUCUUUCGCUAUCGAACAAGGCCCGCUUCGGGUGGGUUGAGGGUAGGUGGAGAAGAAGCGCCGGCUAACUACGUGCCAGCAGCCGCGGUAAUACGUGGGGCGCGAGCGUUGUCCGGACUUAUUGGGCGUAAAGGGCUUGUAGGCGGCUUGUUGCGCCUGCUGUGAAAACGCGGGGCUUAACUUCGCGCGUGCAGUGGGUACGGGCAGGCUUGAGUGUGGUAGGGGUGACUGGAAUUCCAGGUGUAGCGGUGGAAUGCGCAGAUAUCUGGAGGAACACCGAUGGCGAAGGCAGGUCACUGUGCCAUUACUGACGCUGAGGAGCGAAAGCAUGGGUAGCGAACAGG
rnacentral:rRNA from 1 species